CCUACGGGUGGCAGCAGUGAGGAAUAUUGGUCAAUGGGCGUAAGCCUGAACCAGCCAAGCCGCGUGAGGGAUGAAGGUUCUAUGGAUUGUAAACCUCUUUUAUACGGGAAUAAAGUGAGGUACGUGUCCUAUUUUGUAUGUAUCUUAUGAAUAAGGAUCGGCUAACUCCGUGCCAGCAGCCGCGGUAAUACGGAGGAUCCGAGCGUUAUCCGGAUUUAUUGGGUUUAAAGGGUGCGUAGGCGGCCUGUUAAGUUAGAGGUGAAAGGCGGUGGCUCAACCAUAGAAUUGCCGUUGAAACUGGGGGGCUAGAGAAUAGUUGAGGCAGGCGGAAUGUGUGGUGUAGCGGUGAAAUGCUUAGAGAUCACGCAGAACACCGAUUGCGAAGGCAGCUUGCCAAGCCAUUACUGACGUUGAGGCACGAAAGCGUGGGGAGCAAACAGGAUUAGAUACCCGAGUAGUC
rnacentral:rRNA from 1 species